rnacentral:rRNA from 1 species
AGCAGCCGCCGCGGUAAUACAGAGGGUGCGAGCGUUAAUCGGAUUUACUGGGCGUAAAGCGUGCGUAGGCGGCUUCUUAAGUCGGAUGUGAAAUCCCUGAGCUUAACUUAGGAAUUGCAUUCGAUACUGGGAAGCUAGAGUAUGGGAGAGGAUGGUAGAAUUCCAGGUGUAGCGGUGAAAUGCGUAGAGAUCUGGAGGAAUACCGAUGGCGAAGGCAGCCAUCUGGCCUAAUACUGACGCUGAGGUACGAAAGCAUGGGGAGCAAACAGGAUUAGAUACCCCUGUUAGUCCCUGUCUCUUAUA